rnacentral:rRNA from 1 species
GGCGGSBKNUAWACUGCAAGUCGAGCGGACAGAAGGGAGCUUGCUCCCGGAUGUUAGCGGCGGACGGGUGAGUAACACGUGGGUAACCUGCCUGUAAGACUGGGAUAACUCCGGGAAACCGGAGCUAAUACCGGAUAGUUCCUUGAACCGCAUGGUUCAAGGAUGAAAGACGGUUUCGGCUGUCACUUACAGAUGGACCCGCGGCGCAUUAGCUAGUUGGUGGGGUAAUGGCUCACCAAGGCGACGAUGCGUAGCCGACCUGAGAGGGUGAUCGGCCACACUGGGACUGAGACACGGCCCAGACUCCUACGGGAGGCAGCAGUAGGGAAUCUUCCGCAAUGGACGAAAGUCUGACGGAGCAACGCCGCGUGAGUGAUGAAGGUUUUCGGAUCGUAAAGCUCUGUUGUUAGGGAAGAACAAGUGCGAGAGUAACUGCUCGCACCUUGACGGUACCUAACCAGAAAGCCACGGCUAACUACGUGCCAGCAGCCGCGGUAAUACGUAGGUGGCAAGCGUUGUCCGGAAUUAUUGGGCGUAAAGGGCUCGCAGGCGGUUUCUUAAGUCUGAUGUGAAAGCCCCCGGCUCAACCGGGGAGGGUCAUUGGAAACUGGGAAACUUGAGUGCAGAAGAGGAGAGUGGAAUUCCACGUGUAGCGGUGAAAUGCGUAGAGAUGUGGAGGAACACCAGUGGCGAAGGCGACUCUCUGGUCUGUAACUGACGCUGAGGAGCGAAAGCGUGGGGAGCGAACAGGAUUAGAUACCCUGGUAGUCCACGCCGUAAACGAUGAGUGCUAAGUGUUAGGGGGUUUCCGCCCCUUAGUGCUGCAGCUAACGCAUUAAGCACUCCGCCUGGGGAGUACGGUCGCAAGACUGAAACUCAAAGGAAUUGACGGGGGCCCGCACAAGCGGUGGAACAUGUGGUUUAAUUCGAAGCAACGCGAAGAACCUUACCAGGUCUUGACAUCCUCUGACACCCUARARAUAGGCUUUCCCUUCGGGAAAAAUGACAGGKGGUGCAUGGUUKCSUCACUCCKGUCGUGAAAUKUGGGUUAGUCCC